rnacentral:rRNA from 1 species
UACGAAGGGUGCAAGCGUUAAUCGGAAUUACUGGGCGUAAAGCGUGCGCAGGCGGUGCUGUAAGACAGGCGUGAAAUCCCCGGGCUUAACCUGGGAAUGGCGCUUGUGACUGCAGUGCUGGAGUGCGGCAGAGGGGGAUGGAAUUCCGCGUGUAGCAGUGAAAUGCGUAGAUAUGCGGAGGAACACCAAUGGCGAAGGCAAUCCCCUGGGCCUGUACUGACGCUCAUGCACGAAAGCGUGGGGAGCAAACAGG